rfam:Operophtera brumata OBRT01_Sc00158, whole genome shotgun sequence.
CACAAGGCGCUUUUCAGCGCCACCAUCUUCAACCUGGUCUGGUCAG